AACGCACAUUGCGCCCGCCAGUAUUCUGGCGGGCAUGCCUGUUCGAGCGUCAUUUCAACCCUCGAGCCCCCGCCGGCUCGGUGUUGGGAGACGGCCGCCCGCCCCGGGCGGCCGCCCCCGAAAUACAGUGGCGGUCCCGCCGUCUGCCUCCUCUGCGUAGUAGAAACACCUCGCACUGGGACGCGGCGCGGCCACGCCGUAAAACCUCCAACUUCUGAAGGUUGACCUCGGAUCAGGUAGGAAUACCCGCUGAACUUAA
rnacentral:misc_RNA from 1 species